AUUGAACGCUGGCGGCAGGCCUAACACAUGCAAGUCGAGCGAGCGGCGGACGGGUGAGUAAUGUAUGGGAAACUGCCUGAUGGAGGGGGAUAACUAAUGGAAACGGUAGCUAAUACAGCAUACUAUCAGAUGUGCACAGAUGGGAUUAGCUAGUAGGUGGGGUAACGGCUCACCUAGGCGACGAUCCCUAGCUGGUCUGAGAGGUUGACCAGCCACACUGAAACUGAGACACGGUCCAGACUCCUACGGGAGGCAGCAGUGGGGAAUAUGGCACAAUGGGCGCAAGCCGUAUGCAGCCAUGCCGCGUGUGUGAAGAAGGCCUUCGGGUUGUAAAGCACUUUCAGCGGGGAGGCGUUACCCGCAGAAGAAGCACCGGCUAACUCCGUGCCAGCAGCCGCGGUAAUAC
rnacentral:rRNA from 1 species